rfam:Myotis davidii contig72155, whole genome shotgun sequence.
GCUGGUUUGGCUCAGUGGACAGAGCAUCGGCCUGCUGGCUGCAGGGUUCUGGGUUCGAAUCCCGGACAAGGCA